UUACCUAAAAUAAUUGUUUUCCUAUUAUAUUUGGAAAGCACUACAUUAUCUCAAAACAAGAAAGGUUGAGAAUAAUGGCUAUAAUCAGCGAUAAUUUAGUUGAGGUUUAUGUUUCUAUCCAUUUUAUGAUGAAAGAUUCUAUAUCCCAAAUUGGAAUCUGAAAGCAAGAGAAUUGACCUUGACAUAUUAAUUUAAAAAUUGAUUUUGUGUAAGAAGGUACAGCAUUAACAAAGAUGAGAAAGCUUUAUACAAUGAAAUGUAUAACAGUAGGAUCCAUAUUUAUGAGAUUAUAGAUUUAGAGCUAGAAGGAGUCCUUGAAGCCAUCCAGUCCAAUGUAUUCAGCAUGAAACCAAACAAGUUCACAAAUAUAUCAACCUAUAACACCUUCCUUUAGUAUCCAGGUUAUCUUUGCACAAUCCCUUUUCCCACCUCUAUCCCUAUAUCUGAUAAUAUGAAUAGUGCCUUUUGCUAGAAUAAUCUUUCUAGAAUGCCCCAGGUAAGUUCUGAAUCAUGAUUAUUCACCAGGCUAUCUAUGUUUAUUCUUAUUACAAUGGCUCCAGAAACUUCAGUCAUUAAUUGCUGGCAUAGAUAGGACAUUAGCAGUUCAAGUUGUUACUGUUAUCAAAAUUGUUAUUGUCUCAUUCUGUGUUUGUAGCAACUACAACAGGGCAGGUGAUGUGCUGAAAAGUUGUGCUAACAGGUAAAAACUUGAAAUUCUCAACUGUGGCAGGAAUAAAGAUAGGAGGAUGACUGGCAAUAGAGGGAAAAUAAGUUAAGUCUCCUUAUGAAUAUGUGUGCCUCAGUCUGUAAGUGUCAGAGGCUCACAAAAUGUUAGUAUCUGUUAUAAGAACUCCAUCGUAAUCAUUAUUAUACUAGAUAUUAAUCCUUUAAAAAUUGAAUGCUCUCCCAAUGGAAUUAUACCAAACUUUUCAGUUCACAUUACCAGAGGCUUUUUUCUUAACGAUGAAACAUGGCUGAAUCAAUCUACUGUUGUACUUAAUUCACUAUAUAAGAUAUUACAGAAAGAAAAUAUCCUGAAAUAAUUCCCUAUGCUGUCCCCCAAUAUAUUGAUAAAAUAUUUAUUUUUAUGACAUUAGUAAAUAUAACAAAUAAAUCAAAUUUCAGAAUGAUAGCCCUAAUUACCCAUAUGUGAAGAAUUUAUAACAGGACUUAGUUUAAGAAAAUUAUCAAUUUGAAAGAAACAUUAACCUGAAUUGAUUAUGCAACAUAAUAUCUUAAGCAUAAGUAGAAAAACCUUGAUCUGAAAAGAAUUUCA
rnacentral:lncRNA from 1 species